AAAGAAACCAACAGGGAUUGCCCUAGUAACGGCGAGUGAAGCGGCAACAGCUCAAAUUUGAAAUCUGGCGCAAGCCCGAGUUGUAAUUUGUAGAGGAUGUUUCUGGCGACGUGCCUUCCGAGUUCCCUGGAACGGGACGCCAUAGAGGGUGAGAGCCCCGUACGGUUGGAUGCCUAGCCUCUGUGAAACUCCUUCGACGAGUCGAGUAGUUUGGGAAUGCUGCUCUAAAUGGGAGGUAUACGUCUUCUAAAGCUAAAUACCGGCCAGAGACCGAUAGCGCACAAGUAGAGUGAUCGAAAGAUGAAAAGCACUUUGAAAAGAGGGUUAAAAAGUACGUGAAAUUGUUGAAAGGGAAGCGUUUAUGACCAGACUUGGGCAGGUUGAUCAUCCGUGGUUCUCCGCGGUGCACUCUGCCUGCCCAGGCCAGCAUCAGUUUUCCCCGGGGGAUAAAGGUUUCGGGAAUGUGGCUCCUCCGGGAGUGUUAUAGCCCGUUGCGUAAUACCCUGGGGUGGACUGAGGUUCGCGCAUUGCAAGGAUGCUGGCGUAAUGGUCAUCAACGACCCGUCUUGAAACACGGACCAAGGAGUCGUCUUCGUAUGCGAGUGUUCGGGUGUCAAACCCCUACGCGUAAUGAAAGUGAACGUAGGAGAGAGCUUCGGCGCAUCUCCGACCGAUCCUGAUGUUCUCGGAUGGAUUUGAGUAAGAGCAUACGGGGCCGGACCCGAAAGAAGGUGAACUAUGCCUGUAUAGGGUGAAGCCAGAGGAAACUCUGGUGGAGGCUCGCAGCGGUUCUGACGUGCAAAUCGAUCGUCAAAUAUGGGCAUGGGGGCGAAAGACUAAUCGAACCUUCUAGUAGCUGGUUUCCGCCGAAGUUUCCCUCAGGAUAGCAGUAUUGAACUCAGUUUUAUGAGGUAAAGCGAAUGAUUAGGGACCAGGGGGCGCUAUAUAGCCUUCAUCCAUUCUCAAACUUUAAAUAUGUAAGAAGCCCUUGUUACUUAAUUGAACGUGGGCAUUCGAAUGUAUCAAU
rnacentral:rRNA from 1 species